UGAGUAACGCGUGGGCAACUUACCCUUAAGACCGGGAUAACACUUCGAAAGGGGUGCUAAUACUGGAUAAGCUCCUUGUAGGGCAUCCUAUGAGGAGGGAAGGUAGCGGGAGCUACCGCUUAAGGAUGGGCCCGCGUCCCAUCAGCUAGUUGGUAGGGUAACGGCCUACCAAGGCGACGACGGGUAGCCGGCCUGAGAGGGUGGUCGGCCACACUGGGACUGAGACACGGCCCAGACUCCUACGGGAGGCAGCAGUGGGGAAUCUUGCGCAAUGGGCGAAAGCCUGACGCAGCGACGCCGCGUGAGCGAGGAAGGCCUUCGGGUCGUAAAUCUCGAUAGUGUGGGAAGAAGGGAUGACGGUACCACACGAAAGCCCCGGCUGA
rnacentral:rRNA from 1 species